rnacentral:lncRNA from 1 species
AGCCACUUGUCUAUUGUUUUUUUCUUUCAGAUCUGAGCUUCCACAACCAAUUUAGAGUCUGAAGUGCCUAGAUCAAAGACAAAGAAUAACUGGCCAUUUCUCUGUGCAGAUACCAGGUUAUGUGGGCCAACUAAGUAGCCAAUGUUUCCUUCCAGAAGAUGACAAGAGAUGAGUUUUGAAAGCCAACAAACAAGAGAGAGGUGGCGAGUUGCUUAGUCAAGGCUGUCAGCUUGAUGCCAAUACAUUGUUCCUUGCAUUGAAUCGGUGCCUUGAGAUGAACGAUUAAGGAAGCAGGAGGUUGAAGGGGCAGUGGAAGGAUCUAAACAGGUCAGUUAUGGAAGGAUUCAGUAAAAGU